GACGAACGCUGGCGGCGUGCUUAACACAUGCAAGUCGAGCGGUAAGGCCCUUUCGGGGGUACGACGAGCGGCGAACGGGUGAGUAACACGUGGGUGACCUGCCCUCAGUUCUGGGAUAAGCCUGGGAAACCGGGUACUAAUACUGGAUAUGACCUCAUGACGCAUGUUGUGGGGUGGAAAGCCUUGUGCGACUGAGGAUGGGCCCGCGGCCUAUCAGCUUGUUGGUGGGGUGAUGGCCUACCAAGGCGACGACGGGUAGCCGGCCUGAGAGGGCGACCGGCCACACUGGGACUGAGACACGGCCCAGACUCCUACGGGA
rnacentral:rRNA from 1 species